rnacentral:rRNA from 1 species
UACGUAGGGUGCGAGCGUUAAUCGGAAUUACCGGGCGUAAAGCGUGCGCAGGCGGUUUUUUAAGCCCGAUGUGAAAGCCCCGGGCUUAACCUGGGAAUGGCAUUUGGGACUGCAAGGCUUGAGUGCGGCAGAGGAGACUGGAAUUCCUGGUGUAGCAGUGAAAUGCGUAGAUAUCAGGCGGAAUACCGAUGGCGAAGGCAGGUCUCUGGGCUGACACUGACGCUCAUGCACGAAAGCGUGGGGAGCAAACAGG